rnacentral:rRNA from 1 species
CCCUUAGAUGUUCUGGGCUGCACGCGUGCUACACUGAUUACUUCAACAAGUGUUUUAACUGGAGAGUUCGCGUAAUCCUGAAAUGUUAUCGUGAUGGGAGUAGAGUAUUGUAUUUGUUAAUCUUUAACGAGGAAUUCCUAGUAAGUGUAGGUUUAUAAGUUGUUCUGAUUACGUCCCUGCCCUUUGUACACACCGCCCGUCGCUCCUACCGAUUGAUUGAUCCGGUGAAUUACAUAGAAUUUUGCGUUUUACAUGACGGAAGAUGAAGUGUUUUAAACCUUAUCAUUUAGAGGAAGGAGAAGUCGGAACA